AGGAGAAUAGGCUCAAGUAAACUGCCGGUCUCCAAAACCGUGCGUUCCGGGUGCAAGCCCCGGUUCUCCUG
rnacentral:tRNA from 1 species